rnacentral:rRNA from 1 species
UACGAAGGGGGCUAGCGUUGUUCGGAUUUACUGGGCGUAAAGCGCACGUAGGCGGGUUGUUAAGUCAGGGGUGAAAUCCUGGAGCUCAACUCCAGAACUGCCUUUGAUACUGGCAACCUAGAGGCUGGAAGAGGUUAGUGGAAUUCCCAGUGUAGAGGUGAAAUUCGUAGAUAUUCGGAAGAACACCAGUGGCGAAGGCGACUACCUGGCCUGUUCUUGACGCUGAGGCGCGAAAGCUAGGGGAGCAAACGGGG